rnacentral:lncRNA from 1 species
AGCCUUGCAUUUAUGCAUGUGACUAUUUUUUAAAUAUCUGACAAACAUAAACUUGGAAGUAUGGAAGAACCUCCAUCUUAACAAUGGCCACUUUCCAAAGAACAGUAAGGGACAUAUAUUUGAAAAACAACAAGAAAAAAACAUAAACCACAAUCAUCUGCCACAGAAGUAAUGACUGCAGGAAUCACAAAAGAUGGUGAUAAUAAGCGGAAGGUUAUACCUUGAAGUCCUGCCAGUGAAAUUCAAUUUAAU